UACGAAGGGGGCUAGCGUUGCUCGGAAUCACUGGGCGUAAAGCGCACGUAGGCGGGUCGUUAAGUCGGGGGUGAAAUCCUGGAGCUCAACUCCAGAACUGCCUUCGAUACUGGCGACCUUGAGUCCGGGAGAGGUGAGUGGAACUCCGAGUGUAGAGGUGAAAUUCGUAGAUAUCUGGAGGAACACCGGUGGCGAAGGCGGCAUCCUGGACCAACACUGACGCUGAGGAGCGAAAGCCAGGGGAGCAAACGGG
rnacentral:rRNA from 1 species